rnacentral:rRNA from 1 species
GACGAACGCUGGCGGCGUGCUUAACACAUGCAAGUCGAACGAUGAAGCCGGAGCUUGCUCUGGUGAAUUAGUGGCGAACGGGUGAGUAACACGUGAGUAACCUGCCCUUGACUCUGGGAUAACUGCGGGAAACUGUAGCUAAUACCGGAUACGACCCUCGGAGGCAUCUCCUGGGGGUGGAAAGAAUUUCGGUCAAGGAUGGACUCGCGGCCUAUCAGCUAGUUGGUGAGGUAAAGGCUCACCAAGGCGACGACGGGUAGCCGGCCUGAGAGGGUAAGCGGCCACACUGGGACUGAGAAACGGCCCAGACUCCUACGGGAGGCAGCAGUGGGGAAUAUUGCACAAUGGGCGCAAGCCUGAUGCAGCAACGCCGCGUGAGGGAUGACGGCCUUCGGGUUGUAAACCUCUUUUAGCAGGGAAGAAGCGAAAGUGACGGUACCUGCAGAAAAAGCACCGGCUAACUACGUGCCAGCCGCCGCCGUAA